rnacentral:snRNA from 1 species
GUGCUCACUUCAGCAGCACAUAUACUAAAUUGGAAUGAUAUAAGAAGAUUAGGAUGGCCUCUACACAAGGAUGACAUGCAAAUUCGUGAAGCAUUCUGUAUUUUU